rnacentral:tRNA from 1 species
GAAGGGUUAGUUUAAUUAGGUAGAACAGCGGUCUCCAAAACCGUUAGUGGGGGUUCGAUUCCUUCACUCUUCG